UACGUAGGGGGCUAGCGUUGUCCGUGAAUCAUUGGGCGUAAAGAGCGCUGUAGGCGGCCCGGUAAGUCCGCUGUGAAAAGUCAAAGGCUCAACCUUUGAAUGUCAGUGGAUACUGCCCGGGCUAGAGUCCGGAAGAGGCGAGUGGAACUCCUGGUGUAGCGGUGGAAUGCGCAGAUAUCAGGAAGAACACCAGCGGCGAAGGCAGG
rnacentral:rRNA from 1 species